rnacentral:tRNA from 1 species
UGGGGCGUGGCCAAAUGGCAAGGCAGCGGCUUUUGGUGUCGAAGAUUGAAGGUUCGAAUCCUUCCGCCCCAGCCA